UGGGGAAUAUUGGGCAAUGGGGGCAACCCUGACCCAGCGACGCCGCGUGGGGGAAGACGGCUUUCGGGUUGUAAACCUCUUUUGUACGGGAAGAAGGAAGUGACGGUACUGUACGAAUAAGUCCCGGCUAACUACGUGCCAGCAGCCGCGGUAAUACGUAGGGGACGAGCGUUGUCCGGAAUUACUGGGCGUAAAGGGCGCUCAGGCUGUGCUGCAAGUCAGCUGUUAAAUGUCUGGGCUUAACCCGGGCAUGCGGUUGAGACUGCAGUGCUGGAGUGCUGUAGAGGCAAGUGGAAUUCCCAGUGUAGCGGUGAAAUGCGUAGAUAUUGGGAAGAACACCGGUGGCGAAGGCGACUUGCUGGGCAGCAACUGACGCUGAGGCGCGAAUGCCAGGGGAGCAAAC
rnacentral:rRNA from 1 species